rnacentral:rRNA from 1 species
CGGACGGGUGAGUAACACGUAGGCAACCUGCCUGCAAGACCGGGAUAACCCACGGAAACGUGAGCUAAUACCGGAUAUCUCAUUUCCUCUCCUGAGGGGAUGAUGAAAGACGGAGCAAUCUGUCACUUGCGGAUGGGCCUGCGGCGCAUUAGCUAGUUGGUGAGGUAACGGCUCACCAAGGCGACGAUGCGUACCCGACCUGAGAGGGUGAACGGCCACACUGGGACUGAGACACGGCCCACACUCCUACGGGAGGCAGCAGUAGGGAAUCUUCCGCAGUGGGCGAAAGCCUGACGGAGCAACGCCGCGUGAGUGAUGAAGGUUUUCGGAUCGUAAAGCUCUGUUGCCAGGGAAGAACGUCCGGUAGAGUAACUGCUAUCGGAGUGACGGUACCUGAGAAAGAAAGCCCAGGCUAACUACGUGCCAGGCAGCCGCGGUAAUACGUAGGGGGGCAAGCCGUGGUCCGGAAUUAUUUGGGCGUAAAGCGCGCGCCAGGGCGGGUCAUUUAAAGUCUGGUGUUUAAAGAUCAACGGGCUCAAACCCUUGGUUCGCACUGGGAAACUGGGGUGACUUGAGUGCAGAAAGAGGAGAGUGGAAUUCCACGUGUAGCGGUGAAAUGCGUAGAUAUGUGGAGGAACACCAGUGGCGAAAGGCGACUCUCUGGGCUGUAACUGACGCUGACGCGCGAAAGCGUGGGGAGCAAACAGGAAUUAGAUACCCUGGGUACUCCACGCCGUAAAACGAUGAAUUGCUAGGUGUUAGGGGGUUUCGAUACCCCUUUGGGUGCCCGAAUGUUUAACACAUUAAAGCAUUCCCGCUCGUGGGGAGAGUACGGGUCGCAAGACUGAACACUCAAAGGAUAUUUGGACGGGGAGACCCCGCACAAGCAGUGAGAAGUAUUGUGGUAUUAAUUUCGAAGCAACGCGAAAGAACUCUUUAACCGAGGUCUUUAGAACAUCCCGUACAUGACCGGUACUAGAAGAUGAGACCUAUAUCCUACGAGCACAGAGCAGACAGCUGGCUGCAAGGUUGUCAUCAGCUCGUGUCGUGAGAUGUUGGGUUAAGUCCCGCAACGAGCGCAACCCUUGAUUUUAGUUGCCAGCACUUUGGGUGGGCACUCUAGAAUGACUGCCGGUGACAAACCGGAGGAAGGCGGGGAUGACGUCAAAUCAUCAUGCCCCUUAUGACCUGGGCUACACACGUACUACAAUGGCCAGUACAACGGGAAGCGAAGCCGCGAGGUGGAGCCAAUCCUAUCAAAGCUGGUCUCAGUUCGGAUUGCAGGCUGCAACUCGCCUGCAUGAAGUCGGAAUUGCUAGUAAUCGCGGAUCAGCAUGCCGCGGUGAAUACGUUCCCGGGUCUUGUACACACCGCCCGUCACACCACGAGAGUUUACAACACCCGAA